GGAGCGUGGUGGAGCGAGGGAGUGACAGGCCCGGUGGGCGCCCUGGGGGAAGAGGCCAGUCUGCUGCCCACACCCUGAGCCCACUGAAGCUGGAAGACCGCCAGGCCUGGAGCGCUCUGAACAAUUUAGCUCCUCGGUGCAUGAGAAGCCCAACGGAGUAAUGGGUGCUGAUGAGUUUCGCACCCGGAGUCUGAAGAAAAUGAGUCAUUAAAGGCAUUCAGGGACUUUGCUGUGUAGCGAGAGACUAGUUCUCACUAAUGUUAAAGGCUGAGAUUUCAGCCCUUGGGAAGAAUCAAGGACCAAGUUCCUGGUUGCGAUUGGCAAGGGCAGAGAGGUCUUUAAAGAAGAGCAAGGUUUCCUGUCGGUGGGCACAGGAGAGGAAGAGGAGAAGAGAAAUUCACAUCUCUUCCGAAGUCUGUCGCGGGAAGGACUGGAGCAAGAUGGGUACCUAGACCCCUCAACUUAAUGUUCCACGUUGCUGGCUUUGUGGAAUCAGUACUGGAAUUAAUAUUAAUCAAUGGCAAGGGAGACCAGAACAGAGGAUGGUCCUGUGAUGGAUGGUCAUAAGCUUCUCCCUGCUGUGAAGUAUCUUUCCUUCAGAAACGACUCUUUCCAUUCCUUUCAUGUAUUUGCCUUCUCUGGAAGACUCAUGAGCUUCUUAGGACAGCCUUUACUUUGUAUUUGAGGCCCAGAGAAGUCAGGCAAUUUGUUCAAGCCCGCACAGCUAGUUAGGGGCAGAGCCGAGCCUAAAAUCUUGGGCCAUUUCCAAAUCCAGUGUUCGCCCUACUGUAUCACACUGUGAAACUCUUGAGUUGAUCACUGUGAGUGCUUAAUAAAUAUUAGAUUUCUAACAG